UGCAUAUUCAAUAAGCGAGGAAAAGAAACUAACAAGGAUUCCCCUAGUAACGGCGAGCGAAGCGGGAAGAGCUCAAAUUUGAAAGCUGGCACCUCCGGUGUCCGCGUUGUAAUCUCGAGACGUGUUUUCCGUGCGGCUCUAUGGACAAGUCCCUUGGAAUAGGGCAUCGUAGAGGGUGAGAAUCCCGUACUUGCCAUGGAAGAACCGUGCUUUGCGAUACACGCUCUAAGAGUCGAGUUGUUUGGGAUUGCAGCUCAAAAUGGGUGGUAGACUCCAUCUAAAGCUAAAUAUCGGGGAGAGACCGAUAGCGAACAAGUACCGUGAGGGAAAGAUGAAAAGCACUUUGGAAAGAGAGUUAAAAGUACGUGAAAUUGUCGAAAGGGAAGCACUUGAAGUCAGCCAUGCUGCUUGAGACUCAGCCUGGCCUUUGGGCUUGGUGUAUUUCUCGGUGGCAAGCCAGCAUUGGUUUGGGUCGUCGGAGAAGCGCAUAGGGAAUGUAGCGUCUCCGGACGUGUUAUAGCCUUAUGCAGGAUACGACGACCUGGAUCAAGGAACGCAGUGUGCCCUCUGGGCGGGUCUUCGGACACCUUCACACUUAGGAUGCUGGCGUAAUGGCUUUAAGUGGCCCGUCUUGAAACAGGGACCAC
rnacentral:rRNA from 1 species